rnacentral:rRNA from 1 species
GAUGAACGCUGGCGGCGUGCCUAAUACAUGCAAGUCGAGCGAACAGACGAGGAGCUUGCUCCUCUGACGUUAGCGGCGGACGGGUGAGUAACACGUGGAUAACCUACCUAUAAGACUGGGAUAACUUCGGGAAACCGGAGCUAAUACCGGAUAAUAUAUUGAACCGCAUGGUUCAAUAGUGAAAGACGGUUUUGCUGUCACUUAUAGAUGGAUCCUCGCCGCAUUAGCUAGUUGGUAAGGUAACGGCUUACCAAGGCGACGAUGCGUAGCCGACCUGAGAGGGUGAUCGGCCACACUGGAACUGAGACACGGUCCAGACUCCUACGGGAGGCAGCAGUAGGGAAUCUUCCGCAAUGGGCGAAAGCCUGACGGAGCAACGCCGCGUGAGUGAUGAAGGUCUUCGGAUCGUAAAACUCUGUUAUCAGGGAAGAACAAAUGUGUAAGUAACUAUGCACGUCUUGACGGUACCUAAUCAGAAAGCCACGGCUAACUACGUG